rnacentral:rRNA from 1 species
UGGGGAAUUUUGGACAAUGGGCGAAAGCCUGAUCCAGCAAUGCCGCGUGUGUGAAGAAGGCCUUCGGGUUGUAAAGCACUUUUGUCCGGAAAGAAAUCCUUGGCUCUAAUACAGUCGGGGGAUGACGGUACCGGAAGAAUAAGCACCGGCUAACUACGUGCCAGCAGCCGCGGUAAUACGUAGGGUGCAAGCGUUAAUCGGAAUUACUGGGCGUAAAGCGUGCGCAGGCGGUUUGCUAAGACCGAUGUGAAAUCCCCGGGCUCAACCUGGGAACUGCAUUGGUGACUGGCAGGCUAGAGUAUGGCAGAGGGGGGUAGAAUUCCACGUGUAGCAGUGAAAUGCGUAGAGAUGUGGAGGAAUGCCGAUGGCGAAGGCAGCCCCCUGGGCCAAUACUGACGCUCAUGCACGAAAGCGUGGGGGAGCAAACAGGAUUAGAUACCCUGGUAGUCCACGCCCUAAACGAUGUCAACUAGUUGUUGGGGAUUCAUUUCCUUAGUAACGUAGCUAACGCGUGAAGUUGACCGCCUGGGGAGUACGGUCGCAAGAUUAAAACUCAAAUGAAUUGACGGGGUCAUAGCUGUUUCCU